rnacentral:rRNA from 1 species
CCUACGGGAGGCAGCAGUGGGGAAUAUUGGGCAAUGGGCGUAAGCCUGAACCAGCCAAGUCGCGUGAGGGAUGAAGGUUCUAUGGAUCGUAAACCUCUUUUAUAAGGGAGUAAAGUGUGGGACGUGUCCUAUUUUGUAUGUACCUUAUGAAUAAGGAUCGGCUAACUCCGUGCCAGCAGCCGCGGUAAUACGGAGGGUCCGAGCGUUAUCCGGAUUUAUUGGGUUUAAAGGGUGCGUAGGCGGCCGGUGAAGUCAGCGGUGAAAGUGUGUGGCCCAACCGUAGAAUUGCCGGGGAAACUGGGGGGCUGGAGUACGAUAGAGGCAGGUGGAAUGCGUGGUGUAGCGGUGAAAUGCUUAGAUAUCAGGCAGAACCCCGAUUGCGAAGGC